rnacentral:antisense_RNA from 1 species
CUUGAUGGAGCCCAGCCAGAGCGGCCGGUUCCCGGGGCGGUCCUGCCCGUAGGUGGCGAGCAGCGCCUGGGCCUC